CAGUCUUGCGACCGUACUCCCCAGGUGGGAUACUUAUCACUUUCGCUUAGUCACUGAGCUAAUGCCCAACAACUAGUAUCCAUCGUUUACGGCGUGGACUACCAGGGUAUCUAAUCCUGUUCGCUCCCCACGCUUUCGUCCCUCAGCGUCAGUACAUACGUAGUAGACUGCCUUCGCAAUCGGUAUUCUGUGUAAUAUCUAUGCAUUUCACCGCUACACUACACAUUCUAUCUACUUCCAUAUGACUCAAGUCAACCAGUAUCAAAGGCAGUUCCAUAGUUGAGCUAUGGGAUUUCACCUCUGACUUAAUUGACCGCCUGCGGACCCUUUAAACCCAAUGAUUCCGGAUAACGCUCGGACCCUCCGUAUUACCGCGGCUGCUGGCACGGAGUUAGCCGGUCCUUAUUCUUACAGUACCGUCAAGCUGCUACACGUAGCAGUGUUUCUUCCUGUAUAAAAGCAGUUUACAACCCAUAGGGCCGUCUUCCUGCACGCGGCAUGGCUGGGUCAGAGUUGCCUCCAUUGCCCAAUAUUCCUCA
rnacentral:rRNA from 1 species